UCUAUUUUCAUAAUAAAACACCAUGGCCCCAAGGAAAAAAUUUUUUUAGUGUGGCAUUCAUUGCGUUAAACCACCAAUUUAUGGUAAUUUGUAACAGCGGCAACAGGAAACUAAUAUAUUUGAUCGGGACAGAAAUGGUGUCUGUAGCAAAGACAAUAUCCUAGAAUAGCAAGAUAUUGAAGAACAAGCUCUUUUUCUUUGAACGACAAAGCCAUGAUGUCUUGGAUGUUGAUUAUUUUUCUCUCUCCUUGGAUUUCGAAUUGAGGGCCAUUGGUGACACUCAGAAGACAGUCGCCAUAGCUGUCCUCACUAGAGCAGCUUCUUGUCGAGUUCCUAAAGGACCAUCACAGGCUGGCUCCUUAAUGCAUGUCACCUUCCACAUUAUACCCCGAACCUAGGCAUUGUUUUAAGAUGAGAAAGUGAGGCAUGCAACAGUAAUGUAACUUGACAUAGGCUUCACAGCCAAUAAAGAGCAACGCAUGGAUUCUUAUCCAUUCUUACACUUAAAAACAUUUGAACGUCUUCACAAAAGGGCUGGUUUUAAAAUUAUCUGUUAAGACAAUUUGUUUUAUGUAUUCCAUACAGAUGGAGAGACCACAGGAGGUGAGACGAUGCAUUGGCAGGUAUCCGGGGCCAGCAGUAUGGGUGGAUCAAGCUCAACUCCCUCUCUCCACCAGUGAGCGGGCAUAUUCCAUGGCAAAGGCAGAGAAAAACAGUGCUGGAAGUUGAGGAAAGUUAAGCAUGGAGUGGUUAUGGAACUUGCUCAAGGACACACAGCUCAGAAGAAUGGAGCAGGGACCUAAAUUCAUAAUUGUAACCAUCAUGUUAUAUUGUCUUUGAAGAUUAAAUGAAACAUAAAGCAAAAAUGACUCCAUUUUACCUUCACCAUCAGAUUGAAAGGACUUUGGUCUCACUCUGUCACCCUGGGCUACAGUGCAGUGG